rnacentral:lncRNA from 1 species
CAAAGCCUCACAGGCCACCUGUCCAGAAUAUGUGAAGUUUAAUGUAUACUCAUGUACAUUGGAUCUGCUACUUGCGAAAGAGGUAGGCCUAUUGCACUUUAUUUGGUUGUCAUAUUAUUGUGAUUUCAUUUUGUUAUAAUCUUUUAAGACAUAUAUUAAUCAGAAUGGUAAAUAAUAGUCUUGUCUGGUAUGUCUUUUAUUUCUCUGUAUUCAUUAACCAAGUUAUGUGUGAUGCAUCGAAGACAUUGCUCGUCUAGUUAGUUGCCUCUUUGAAUAAAAAGAGCAAGUUGAGGAUGUUUGAAAUGUCUCAACUUAUUCUCUCUCAUGUUUAUCUAGUCUAAUCUCCUUAAUUGCCAUGCUACACCAAAUGGUGUUAUUUGAGUUUGUCUGUUUUAUUAUGUCCAUCUGGCUUUCAAACACAUUGAAAAGGUUACAGCUAGUGUCACAGAGUACCAAAAGCCUUUUUUCUUAUCGAGUAGUUUUGUUGUCCUUUUUAAAAUUUGCCUUUUUUCCCAAGUGUGUUUGAGGAUUAUCAAAUUAUACUUCUUUGAUUACUGAGUCAGAAUAAGUGAGAAGAGAAGGAACUAGCCGAGUGGAACCCUCAAAACUGUCAAAAGUGGGCCUAGUGUGCCAGAACAUUGAAACAGGAUUUUGUGCUUCACAUUUUCAAUCAAUUUGCCUAUUGAUUCAAAAGAUCAUGUUAAUAAUGAAAUAAGAGAUGGUGGUUGAAAUUUUUCCUAAUUUUAAUGUUCAAGACGGUAUUCAGGCAAAUCCUAUUAGCAAGGUGGUCAGUUUUAUGUGAUAUGAGUUGCUAGUUUUGGUGAGUAGAUGACAUUGAAUCGUUAAAAGAAGUGGUUUCAAAUCUUUUGUUUUUAUUAUAAAAAAAGAACAUCUCUUACCUUUCUUAUUAGAAGCGGGAAAAAUGUGGAGAGGGUGAGGAAGGAGGUUACAAGUGGUAGGAGGGAGAAUUUUGCUUAACCAAGCCAGUUGUUUUUUAAGAUGUAUAUACUAAUGUUGAUUCUGUUGGCCCUAAAAAUGUUUCUCCAUUCCAAAUAGUGUAAAAUUAAUUAUUUGGUAUGCAAAUAGUAGCCUGCCCAUAUAUAUACAAAUGUAUAAGCCAGGGGCAUAUUGAGAUUAGUAUGGUUUGGGGGAGGAAGGUAAACAUGGGAAAUGAUAAGAAAACUUGAAAAGAUACAGUCACAAGGCUGUCCAGCAAGAUGAUCAUGAAGACGAAUGUUGUCUAAUAAUUUCUUCUUACUUACUAGCGCUAGGAAGGGUCUGUACAGUGGUGUUUUGGUUUUAGUUAAUCUCCUUUCUAUAGGGGGCUCUGUACGUGUGUUUUGGGUAGUAUACAAUUUGUAUAUGGGUUAGACCCAGCUAGCUGGGUUUUUCAAUAUAAGAAUACUUGUUAACUUAAGGAAAUUGUCUGAAUAAUUAAAAUUUUCUAAAUGAGCUGAAUAAAGUAGAGGUUUUGUCGCAAAACAAAAUACCAAAUGAAAUAUGUUGGAUAACUCAUUUUUCUAAAACAACUAGAUGAGUGUUUUUCCACUUUAACCCUUUGAACUUUUUUCAACAUGUUUAUACUUAAUUAAUAUUUUCACUAGUAAAAUUUUAUAUUUCCACAAGCUUCCUCUCAUAUGAGUAUGGGACCCAUUUACUAUCCAUGUGAGAAAUACCUUGUGGAAUUAUCAAUUUUGUUUGUGGAAGUAUCAAUUCCCUAUUUUAAUAAAAUAUGUAGUCUUGCCAUAAAAUUAUUAGAUGAAAUUUUGGACAUUUAUUAAUAUGAUAAUUUUAAUUAUUUGAAGUACAUUAACUUUAAAGUUUAAACUAUUACAUAAAGUACAAUAAUUUAAAACAUAUAUAUAUAUAUAUAUAUAUAUAUAUAUAUAUAUAUAUAUAUAUAUAUAUAUAUAUAUACAAAAAAAAACUUUACUGUGUGAGCACUUUAGAAAUAAUAGAUAACUCGAUUGUAUAUAAUAUUAUACUGUGUUAGUAUACCCUUCAACGUGCAGGUUUUGUAUGUGAGGAUAUUUUAGUUAAAAUUCUUAUUAAGUAACCAGCUGACUGAAAGAUGCUAGGGGGGAUAACUUUUUGUAAAAGGAAUAUUGCUCCAAUUAGAUGGUAAUGAUGAACUCGGUGAAAAGGGUUAUCAUACUUGCUCAGCUGCUGAUAUGUAUUGAAUCUACAUUUGGGUUGAAAUUUGUGGCUUGCUAGUUGCUAAGGUGUUAUGUACGUUAUCCAUUAUGAUUUUCAUUUAUGUGAGGCUAAACAGUCAAUGAUUUUCAGCAGAUUGUUCAGUCCAGUUGAUUAAAAAAAUACUUUCAUACUUGGAGAUUUCGGAAUUUGCUUAUGAGCAAACUGACAAAUUGCAGUAGUUUGGCAGAAGCAGACAAGCUAGCUGAUAUAGGUGAUGAAGUCCAC